UACGUAGGGUGCGAGCGUUGUCCGGAAUUAUUGGGCGUAAAGAGCUCGUAGGCGGUCUGUCGCGUCGAUCGUGAAAACUUGGGGCUUAACCCUGAGCUUGCGGUCGAUACGGGCAUGACUGGAGUUCGGCAGGGGAGACUGGAAUUCCUGGUGUAGCGGUGAAAUGCGCAGAUAUCAGGAGGAACACCGGUGGCGAAGGCGGGUUGCUGGGCUGACACGUGACGCUGAGGCGCGAAAGCCAGGGGAGCGAACGGG
rnacentral:rRNA from 1 species